rnacentral:pre_miRNA from 1 species
GGGGGGAGUGCCAGAUCUUGGUUGUGUCCCCCGGCUCCUUGGCCUCUGGGACCUGUGCUGCUGGAAUCAUACUCCCCAGCCGCGCAGCCCCCU